rnacentral:rRNA from 1 species
UACGUAGGGUGCGAGCGUUAAUCGGAAUUACUGGGCGUAAAGCGUGCGCAGGCGGUUCGACAAGUCCGAUGUGAAAUCCCCGGGCUCAACCUGGGAACUGCAUUUGUGACUGCAUAGCUGGAGUGCGGCAGAGGGGGAUGGAAUUCCGCGUGUAGCAGUGAAAUGCGUAGAUAUGCGGAGGAACACCGAUGGCGAAGGCAAUCCCCUGGGCCUGCACUGACGCUCAUGCACGAAAGCGUGGGGAGCAAACAGG